UACGUAGGGGGCUAGCGUUGCUCGGAAUCACUGGGCGUAAAGCGCACGUAGGCGGAUUGUUAAGUCAGGGGUGAAAUCCUGGAGCUCAACUCCAGAACUGCCUUUGAUACUGGCGAUCUCGAGUCCGGGAGAGGUGAGUGGAACUGCGAGUGUAGAGGUGAAAUUCGUAGAUAUUCGCAAGAACACCAGUGGCGAAGGCGGCUCACUGGCCCGGUACUGACGCUGAGGUGCGAAAGCGUGGGGGGCAAACAGG
rnacentral:rRNA from 1 species